GACAUUGGUUAUCAAGUUGUUUGGCACAUAUGGCUUGAACCAUUCCAACAACCAUUCAAGCCAAGAAAACCAAGGAAAUGAUUGGUUGCAAUAUUAAAAGGAAGUUAUGAUGUAACACCCGGGCCUAAAAAUUAGGCUUGAGAUAAUCAAAUUUUAAUAGUAAAUAAUUUAAAACAAUUUAAUCUCUAAUUUUUAUUUGAAAUU
rnacentral:lncRNA from 1 species